UUUACCACAGCAGGGAAAACAGACACUGAAUUAACACAAAGUGUGCCUGAAUACAGUCCAGUAUUAAGAAACAGUUACCUGUUUUGAAAUAAGAAAACUACUCUGCAGCACCAUCUAGUGAGAGUGAGAAGGACCAGUUAUACUGUUUCCAUGUUUGGAGAAUUUUCAUGUGUUUGCAGCCUGCAUACCUUCCUGUAGCCUCAGUAGGAGAAGAAAUGUCAAGCCUCCAUGUAGAGUAGAAGAAUACCUUUGAACAAAGGUGGCUGUCAGUUCAUGUGGGAGAGCACUUGGUUACAU
rnacentral:lncRNA from 1 species